rnacentral:misc_RNA from 1 species
GAUGAAGAACGUAGCGAAACGCGAUAGUUAAUGUGAAUUGCAGAAUUCAGUGAAUCAUCGAGUCUUUGAACGCACAUUGCGCCCUUUGGUAUUCCGAAGGGCAUGUCUGUUUGAGCGUCAUUACAAUACUUCGUUUGACAAUUUUUUUGUCACACGGUUAUGAGCGAUGUUGGUGCACUGGUUAAACGGCCCGUCGCACGCUGCGCUUUAAAGCUAUUGUUAGAAUGCUCUGCUAGCCGGACUUUGAAAACUUUACGUAGUAGUAACAACAAACCGUUCAGUUGGAAAGAGGACGCUUGGCCUGAAAAAUAACGGCCUACCUCUCUAGGUUUGACCUCAGAUCAGACAAGGAUACCCGCUGAACCUAAGCAUAUCAAUAAGCGGAGGA